UGUCUUUUUUGUUGUAUUUAAAUAAUUAAUUAUAAAUCUGUCAUUUCCACACAGCAAAAAACGUUGGGUUGUUUUUUAACCCAACCGUUGGGUUACACAUAUUGGGUCAAUGUGUUGGGUUAUCUUAAAAUUUGUUGGGUAAUUUUUUUUUCGUCGUUGGGUUAUUUUGUUUUGUUGGGUUAAAUAUGUUUCCCGUUUCACUCCGGUUCAAAUUUUAACGGUAAAGUCGAGUCAGAGACUCAGCGUCAGCGCGGACAGAGGCAGCCUGCCUGAUUAUGAAGGACAAUGGACUUUUUCGUGAAGGAAAAAUAGAAUUUCUGCCUGUUAACUGAAAAAUUUCAAGGCCUUCGUGCAGAAAUUGUCUUUAAACCCUUCCUGCCAUCUGCACCAUACCACACAAAUGGAAAAUUGGUGUGCACAUCAUACACGGAAAUGAAGCGGUCCUUCAUUGACAUUCAACCUGUUGGCACUAAUAUAUAGUGCUGUACAUGAAUCACGAGACAAGCCAGAAUCCACGUCCUGGUGUUUGGUGACAAGGAAAACUGGAACAGAAGACAAUACUACAUGCAGUCGAUCUGUGUUUUAAACUUUUCUUUGUAUAUGGCAUCUACUACCCAAAGCCCUCUGCUCCCAUUUGAGAGUUUUUGGAACACACAGUCUUUAAUAGUUUCUUCUGCACACUAUCUCCUCCUUAAAAACUUUGUAUUUUGUAAUCAGUAAAAAACUUUUUUAUUUUAUUGAUAAUCAGUAGGUCCAGCAGCUGGUAUAUUUUUAUUAUUAUUACUUGAUUUUAUGAUUAUUUUUUGUUUUAUUAUUAUAUGUUAGGUUCAUUUUAUUUGAAAGUUGUAAUAUUUCCCAAGAAUGGUAACCCAUAUUUGGAAUUGGUGCUCUGCAUUUAACCCACCCUUCGGGUUACAGGUCCAACUCUCUAACCAUUAGGCCACAGCUGUGAACUGUAUUAGCACAUUUGUGUGUUUUGAUAUGAAUAUGAAUUGACAC